rnacentral:piRNA from 1 species
UGGAAACAGGACUACAUUGACUACAG